UACGUAGGGUGCGAGCGUUGUCCGGAAUUACUGGGCGUAAAGAGCUCGUAGGUGGUUUGUCGCGUUGUUCGUGAAAACCUGAGGCUUAACCUUGGGCGUGCGGGCGAUACGGGCAGACUGGAGUACUGCAGGGGAGACUGGAAUUCCGUGGUGGUAGCGGUGGAAUGCGCAGAGUAUCAGGAGGAACACCGGUGGCGAAGGCGGGGUCUCUGGGCCGAUACUGACGUGAGGAGCGAAAGCGUGGGGAGCGAACAGGA
rnacentral:rRNA from 1 species